rnacentral:rRNA from 1 species
UGGGGAGUAUUGGACAAUGGGCGCAAGCCUGAUCCAGCCAUGCCGCGUGAGUGAUGAAGGCCCUAGGGUUGUAAAGCUCUUUCACCGGUGAAGAUAAUGACGGUAACCGGAGAAGAAGCCCCGGCUAACUUCGUGCCAGCAGCCGCGGUAAUACGAAGGGGGCUAGCGUUGUUCGGAUUUACUGGGCGUAAAGCGCACGUAGGCGGACUUUUAAGUCAGGGGUGAAAUCCCGGGGCUCAACCCCGGAACUGCCUUUGAUACUGGAAGUCUUGAGUAUGGUAGAGGUGAGUGGAAUUCCGAGUGUAGAGGUGAAAUUCGUAGAUAUUCGGAGGAACACCAGUGGCGAAGGCGGCUCACUGGACCAUUACUGACGCUGAGGUGCGAAAGCGUGGGGAGCAAACAGG